rnacentral:rRNA from 1 species
CCUACGGGAGGCAGCAGUGGGGAAUAUCGCACAAUGGGGGAAACCCUGAUGCAGCGACGCCGCGUGAGUGAAGAAGUAAUUCGUUAUGUAAAGCUCUAUCAGCAGGGAAGAAAAUGACGGUACCUGAGUAAGAAGCCCCGGCUAACUACGUGCCAGCAGCCGCGGUAAUACGUAGGGGGCAAGCGUUAUCCGGAUUUACUGGGUGGAAAGGGAGCGUAGACGGCAGUGCAAGUCUGGAGUGAAAGGCGGGGGCUCAACCCCCGGACUGCUCUGGAAACUGUACGGCUGGAGUGCAGGAGAGGUAAGUGGAAUUCCUAGUGUAGCGGUGAAAUGCGUAGAUAUUAGGAGGAACACCAGUGGCGAAGGCGGCUUACUGGACUGUAACUGACGUUGAGGCUCGAAAGCGUGGGGAGCAAACAGGAUUAGAUACCCUUGUAGUC